GGAUCAAACCUCAUGUCCUCAUGGAUCCUAGUCGGGUUCAUUACCACUGAGCCACAACAGGAACUCCCCCAUCUUCUUGGCUUGUGGCUUGUGGUCUCCUCCUCCUUCCCUGCUUCUUUGGAAGCCUCUCCGCCCUCCGAAGCCUCCCUGGCCUCUGCCACCAAAUCCACCUUGGCCACCUCAGCCUCCUCCUUGGCCACCAAAGCCACCUUCACCCUUAGGCUUGGCCCUGGAUGUCCUCAUAAAGGAAAGAGGGCAUUUGGCUAAAGCCCAGAGAUGCCAGUCUUGCCUAAUUUAUGGAGAAAGAGGAAUUUAUGCUGGAAGGAUGUGGGAUAGCUUCUAGACAUAGAUUCCAGAAAAAUGACCAUCAGGGUUUAAAAGGACAGAGGCGGGGCAGCUCCAGGGACCUGGGAGGCAGGAGCCGUGAUCAGUUCCUCGGGGUGAGCCCCCCUCCUAGGAUUUUAGAUUCAGUGACACUCAGAGUCACAUUCCUGCAUGGGAACAUGGCCUUGGCCCAGCUUGGGUCCCGUGGCUGCCACCUCAGGGAGAGGGGUGCAUCUAGACUGACAGCUCCCCCCUCCCCAGACCAGGUGGAGACGGGAAGAGGGUCCCCAAAGGAAGGUGAGCUUCUGGGCUCAGAGGAUGACACACACUCUGGGGAGCCCAAGCUGGGAGCAUUGCCACGUGGCGGACCUGAGCCUUAGGAGAGAGGAAUGUCUUCUAGGAGCUUUUUAAAAAUGUAAUCUUGGCUUUCCCUUUUGGCACAGCAGGUUAAGGAUCCAGCAUUGUCACUAAAAUGGCUUGGGUCCCUGCUGUGGCAUAGGUUCAAUACCCCGCCCAGGAACUGCCACAUGCCAUGUGCAAGGCCGGAAGAAAAAAACAAAACCCAUAACAGGAAACAAAACAAAACAAAAAAAAACAAAUGAAAAACCCCCUACUAUUUAAUUUUUUUUUUUUUUUUUUUUGUCUUUUUUGCCAUUUCUUGGGCCGCUCCCGCAGCAUAUGGAGGUUCCCAGGCUAGGGGGCGAAUCGAAGCUGUAGCCGCCGGCCUACACCGGAGCCACAGCAACACGGGAUCCGAGCCACGUCUGCAACCUACACCACAGCUCACGGCAACGCCGGAUCCUUAACCCACUGAGCAAGGCCAGGGAUCGAACCCAAAAUCUCAUGGUUCCUAGUUGGAUUCCUUAACCACUCAGCCAUGACGGGAACUCCUAAAAUUUUUUUUUUAAUCUUAAACACAAAUGGAUUAUGAGAAUAAAUUGAAAAUUUUGUAGGCGUUUUUUUUCUUUUUUUCCUUUCUUUUUAGGGCUUCCCCCACAGCAUAUGGAAGUUCCCAGACUAGGAGUCAAAUCAGAGCUGCAGCUGCCAGCCCACACCGCAGCCACAGCAACUCAGGAUCCAAACUGCAUCUUCCACCUCUGCCAUAGCUUGUGGCAACACCAGAUGAGUGAGGCCAGAGAUGGAUCCUGCAUCCUCACAGAUGGUAUGUCCAGUUCUUAACCCAUUGAGCCGCAAUGGGAACUCCAAAAACUUUGGCAGGCUUUCUUCAGGCUUAAAAGGAAUAUAUUUGGAGCAGCCUUCCAGGUUGUAACCACAGAUCCCCGGGGGAGACAUGCUCCCACUGCCACUUGUGGGGGCCCCUCAGCAGGGAAUUUGGGAAGCCCCGGAGCAAGCUCUGUCUUGGUCUGGGGACUCUGGCACAGAGCAGGAAGAGUCAGGGGAACAGACCCCCAGCUCUCACACUGAUGACUCUUAUCCUUUCCUUUCCCCGUUGCUUUCUGGAAAGUAUAGCUGCUCCUGCCAGUUACAGAGCACCCAUUUUCCAGGUGAGGAGACCAAGGCUGAGAGAGCUAAGGGUCUUUUUGUUAGUAGUCUAUCACCCAAGGCAUCAAAGCAAAGAGCCUGGGCUUUGGUCCCAUCUCAGCUCCACUAGGCUGAGCUGUGUGCCCUUAGGCCAAUCAUAGCCCUUCUCUGAGCCUUGGUUCUUUUAUCCAUAAAGCAGGGAUAAUAACAGCUCCCACCUCUCAGGGUUGCCUUGAAGGCAAAAUUCCAGGUUGACCAGAGUGCCAAGCACAUAGUAGGACCUCUCUGAAAGCCAUCAUGGUCCUUACCUGAUAACCAGGAAAAGGAAGGAACUAUAGCUAUUGGCACGAGGGCCUGUGUGUCUGUGUGCAUCUGUAAAAUGGGCACCGCAGGACUCUCAUGGGAGUCGAAGGAGAUUAUGUCCAUCAAGUGCUGGUUAAACCCUCACGGGCCAUGCAGAGAGCUGCGUCUAGGUCUUGCCUGUGAGCAUCCUGAAGGCAGGGACCACUUCCUCAUCACUCUGAUUCUUCACAGCAUCCAUCCCAGGGCCCAGUGCUGCAGGGUGGGAGUGGGGGAGAUGAUUCUGAAUAGUGCUUGUUGAAUGACUAACUGAUUGCCUGAGAGAGUCAUUCAUGGAAUGAGGAAAUGUCUAGGACCUGUCCGGGUGAGGAACAGGAGAGGUGGACAGCCUUUCUGUCCCUCUCCCUGCUCCCCUCCCGAGGCCCCUGACCACCCUCUGCUGUGUUAUAGGAGGAGGCAUUCUGCGGACCUGUGUGCUCAGGCCCCCAGGCAUCUAUGGCCCCGAAGAACAGAGGCACCUGCCCCGCGUGGCGGUAUGUUGACCCAGUCCCAGGCCAGAGGCACGGGAGGAGCCUGGCUGAUAUGUGUGUGAAUGGGGACAUGUCAGUCGUGGGGCAGUGUCCCGAGUUGGGGACCCUCAGUUCUGGGAGAACUCAUGCCCCCAUCAGGCCCAGCAGGGACAGGGCUCUCAGCCUGCGCCAGCCAGGCCUGAAUACUGGUCGAGGAGACAUGGAGCUGUGACCCCAAACAGGCAGAGGAAACUAUUGCCCUGCUCAGAUGUAGGCUCCCUAAGGAUGGGCCAUCUCAUCUCAUCCUGCCGGCGCCAGAGUCUUCAUCCAGAAACCCUCUCCCCAGGGAAGACCGCGUGCCAGGAUCUAACUACAGGGAAUUCUAGAUCCUGUCUUCGAAUUCCUCCCAGCCUGUUCGGGGAGACAGACACCAUAGCCAUAGAUUCAGGAUGCUAAGGGCUGUGUAGAGGGAAGAAGGGGGAAGAUGGGAGCACAGCACAGAGGGCCUGGCAGGGGAAGGUCCAGGAGGGCUUCCUGGAAGAAGUGAUGCCUGUGCUGUUUGGAUAGAGAAGAAACUAACCAAGGAAAUGGGGUGAUAGUGAGAAGGGGGUCCAAGUAGAGCAGACAGCUUGGGCACAAACCUGGAAAUGAAAAAGCGUUCCAGGUUUGGGGAGGAUUCCGUGAACAAAAUAGAUGAUUCCUGCCCCUGCAGGGUAUAUAUUUGCAUGGGAGGAGAGAGGUGAUAAACAUGGUACAUGGCAAGGGGUGUUCAAAAGCCCCAGAGGAGUUCCCGUCAUGGCGCAGUGGUUAACGAAUCUGACUAGGAACCAUGAGGUUGNUGGGGAGAGGUAGCAGGGGGUGCAGGCAGUCAGGGGAGCCUCUUCAAGCAAGGACUUCAAGCAUCACCUGGAAAGAGGCACCCAGUGCAUCACUCACGUAGUUGGAGGGAGAGCCCUGCAGGCAGAGGAACGGCUAGUCCAAAGCCCUAAGGUGGGGGGUUCCCGUUGUGGCUUAGAGGAAAUGAAUCCGACUAGGAUCAAACCUGCAACCUCAUGGUUCCUAGUUGGAUUCGUUAACCACUAAGCCACCACAGGAACUCCAAUAAAUCUACUUCUUGCCUAUCAAAAAAAUAAAAUAACUGAAGGCUGAGAAUGAUCCCAAGUUUAAAACCCACCCUAUGUAGUCAAUUCCUACUUGAGUUUUCCAGGUCAUGGUGUGGAUUUCAUUUACAGACUGGCCUAAAUUGGGGCUGGGUGUGGGGUCUGCCCCCUUGGGUGGGCAGGUGAGGAGGAGUCAAGAGGCGCCUCCGCUGGCCUCGGGAUGAAGGCAGCCUGUGGCUUUUCCACACCAGCCCCUGAAGGACCUGUCCUCACCUCAAACCAUGUUUCCUUGCAGUUUGAGAAACUGGGUCACAGCCAGCCCUGGAUCCAGGUGCCUACUUCCUGGGUUUACCUGUCAGGUAAGGAAAGCAGGGUGUGCAUGAAAACCCUCUAUGUGCCAGGUGUACAUACACUGUCUCGUUGUAAGCCCAGGGCCAGGACCUGGUUGAGGUGAGGCACUGCAGACACAAAAUUGAAGGAGCUCCUCACUCUUAGGAGUCAAUGCUCCAAGCCCAGUCUUGCCCAGCCCUGAGAGCAAGUGCCUCCUUAAAUUUUGCACCCAAGGAGUUCCUGUCAUGGCUCAGCAGAAACGAAUCUGACUAGCAUCUAUGAGGACACAGGUUCAAUCCCUGGUCUCGCUCAGUGGAUUAGGGAUACGGUGUUGCCAUGAGCUGUGGUGUAGGUCGCAGACACAGCUCAAAUCUGGCAUUGCUGUGGCUCUGGUUUAGGCCGGCAGCUACAGCUCCAAUUAGACACCUAGCCUGGGAACAUCCAUAUGCUGUGGAUGCAACCCUAAAAGGACGAAAGACAAAAAAAAAAUUGCACCCAAGGUACCUCACUCUCCUUGACCUAGUUCUGGCCCUGUUUAAUCUGUAUCCUGUUUGUUUGCAAAGUGGGUGUGAUUGUAAAGAUGAGGCAACUGAACCUCUGAAACCUAUGGAGCCACAGUGAGAAAGACAGAGAGGAGACAGAGAGAAAGAGGCAGAAUUUACUCUGGGCUUGGCUGACUCCUGCGGGCAUGGAGUGAUAGUCUGCCCAAAGGGACAGGUGGUCCCAAGUCACAGAUAGCUGUGUUCCUGGGAAACCUUAGCUGGAUAGGAUAAACCUCUUGAUAAAGGUAUAUCUGCGUGCCUGUGGCACUCAGAAAGUCCUGGACCAGGGAUCCAACAGGCACCACAGCUAAGACAACACCAGGUUCUUAACCUGCUGAACCACCAGGGAGCUCCUGAAUCAUGCAUUUUAAAUGCAUUGAUCCCUGCCAGUUAAAGCAGGAGUUCAGGGAGUUCUCAUUGUGGCUGAGCUGAAACAAAUCCAGCUAGUAUCCGUGAGGAUGCGGGUUCGAUCCCUGGCCGUGCUCAGUGGGUGGGGGAUCUGGCAUUGCCACCAGCUGUGGUGUAGGUCGCAGACACAGCUCGGAUCUGGUGUUGCUGUGGCUGUGGUAUAGUCUGGCAGGUGCAGUUCCAAUUCGACCCCUAGCCUGGGAACGUGCAUAUGCCUCGGGUGCAGCCCUGAAAAGCAAACAAGGAAGGAAGCAGGGGUUGCAAACUUUUGUCCCUCAGGGUGCCCAUGCAGGAUGACUUCCGGUGCACAGCAUGGCCACCAUGAUUGACACUCCCUGACCCCCAGCUGAGAAAAGAUCAGCCAGAGGCUCUGGCAGCUUUGGAGGAUUAUCUACAAAUUCUCAGUUCCCAGGGAGCAAACUAUAACUCAGUGCCACUUAACCUGGGCUGCUCAUUGGGAUCACCUGGGAGCUUUUAAAAUAUAAAAAUACAGCCACACCCCAGGUCAACUGCUUCAGCUUUCGGGGAAGCAAGGAAAUGGGAGAAGCAGGAGCAUUUUAAAAAGUGGUCCAGGAGUUCCCGUCGUGGCGCAGUGGUUGACGUAUCCGACUAGGAACCAUGAGGUUGCAGGUUCGGUCCCUGCCCUUGCUCAGUGGGUUAACGAUCCGGCGUUGCCGUGAGCUGUGGUGUAGGUUGCAGAUGCAGCUUGGAUCCUGCGUUGCUGUGGCUGUGGUGUCAGUGGGCAGCUGCAGCUCCAAUUCAUCCCCUCGCCCUGAACUUCUCUAUGCUACAGGUGAGGCCCUAAAAAUACAAAAAAAUACAAAAAACAAACAAACAAAAACCUGGUCCAGAAGUUCCCACUGUGGUGCAGCGGGAUCUGCACGCCGGGACGCAGGUCUGAUCCCUGGCUUAGCACAGUGUGUUAAAGGAUCCAGCAUUGUCACAGAUGUACCAUAGGUCCAGCUAUGGCUUGGAUCUGUUCCCUAGCCCAGGGAACUCCCGAUGUCAUAGGGCAGCCAAAAAAAAGAAAGAAAAAGAAAAAGAAACCUGUUGUCCAGGAAUUUCCUGGUGGCCUAGCAGGUUAAAGAUCCAGCAUUGUUACUGCUGUGGCUUGGGUUUA
rnacentral:lncRNA from 1 species